AUAUACUGUAUAAAUUCUAAAUUCUAACAAAAAAGCCGCUAUAGCAUAUUGUCUAAAGCAAACAUUCUAAUUUAAUAUUGGAUCAGAAUUCCGGGUUCGAUGCCCGACAGCGAAAAAAUCCUCUUGGUGCUUUUUAUAUUGUAUCUUGUAUGACAAUUGAAGAUACUUUCUCAUAUUGUUCUUUCUUCUCUGCUCAUUGUUAUGGUUUUUAUACUAUAUUAUAUGAUUCUUGAAGAAAAUCGUGCUUGAGUUUUAGAUAUGAGGGGGUCAUAUUUUCGAGAACAAAAACAGAAAAGGAAAUGAAAGGGAGAAAAGCAGCAAAUACUCUCUUCAAUAAAACCUUCAUAUAAAACAUAUAUACCGUAGAAAUUCUAAAUUCUAACAAAAGAUUCGUUGUAGCACAUUGUGUAAAGCAAACAUUCUAGUUUAAUACUGGAUCAGAAUUACGGGUUUGAAGCUCGGCAGCGGAAAUAUCCUUUUGGUGCUUUUUAUACU
rnacentral:sRNA from 1 species